rnacentral:rRNA from 1 species
UACGAAGGGGGCUAGCGUUGUUCGGAAUUACUGGGCGUAAAGGGCGCGUAGGCGGUGUGUCAAGUCAGAUGUGAAAUCCCCGGGCUUAACCUGGGAACUGCGUUUGAAACUGGAAGGCUUGAGUGUGGCAGAGGGGGGUGGAAUUCCACGUGUAGCAGUGAAAUGCGUAGAGAUGUGGAGGAACACCGAUGGCGAAGGCAGCCCCCUGGGCUAACACUGACGCUCAUGCACGAAAGCGUGGGGAGCAAACAGG